AGGCUUCUGGGCAUAGUCAAGUGCUUGCGAAGUCAGAGUGUGAUCGAGAUGGGAUUGACCACUUCAAGAGUUGGAGAAGAAUGAGUCGCUGUAUUUUAAUUUAGCAAAACCUUGGCCAGGAUAAUCCAUCAGAUGGAUUUGAUAUUUUGAAAUACAAUGUGGACAACCUGAUCAGAGUUGACAGUUGAACUCUGGGGUGUCCUAUGAUCAUUUUGGUCAAGAAGAUGAAUUAUAUGAAAACUAUAUCCGUAUGGGUUCUAAGGAUGUUGUUCUACAUAUUCGACCUAUCC
rnacentral:lncRNA from 1 species